AAUAAUUUAGUUUAAAUUAAAACACUUGAUUGUCAAUCAAGAAAAGCUACAAUGUAGUAAUUGUU
rnacentral:tRNA from 1 species